UCGAGAAUCUUCCGCAAUGGACGAAAGCCUGACCCAGCAACGCCGCGUGAAGGAUGAAGUCUCUCGGGAUGUAAACUUCGUAAGAAUAGGAAGAAUAAAUGACGGUACUAUUUGUAAGGUCCGGCUAACUACGUGCCAGCAGCCGCGGUAAUACGUAGGGACCAAGCGUUGUUCGGAUUUACUGGGCGUAAAGGGCGCGUAGGCGGCGUGGUAAGUCACUUGUGAAAUCUCCGAGCUUAACUCGGAACGGUCAAGUGAUACUGCUGUGCUAGAGUACAGAAGGGGCAAUCGGAAUUCUUGGUGUAGCGGUGAAAUGCGUAGAUAUCAAGAGGAACACCUGAGGUGAAGACGGGUUGCUGGGCUGAUACUGACGCUGAGGCGCGAAAGCUAGGGUAGCAAACGGGAUUAGAUACCCCCGUAGUCCCUGAGCGGGCUGGCAAGGCGCAU
rnacentral:rRNA from 1 species